rnacentral:rRNA from 1 species
UACGUAGGGUGCAAGCGUUGUCCGGAAUUAUUGGGCGUAAAGAGCUCGUAGGCGGUCUGUCGCGUCUGCUGUGAAAACUCAGGGCUUAACCCUGAGCUUGCAGUGGGUACGGGCAGACUAGAGUGCGGUAGGGGAGACUGGAAUUCCUGGUGUAGCGGUGAAAUGCGCAGAUAUCAGGUGGAACACCGGUGGCGAAGGCGGGUCUCUGGGCCGUAACUGACGCUGAGGAGCGAAAGCAUGGGGAGCGAACAGG